GUGCAGCAGGCGCGAAAACUCCGCAAUACGCGAAAGCGUGACGGGGCUAUCCCGAGUGCCGUCCGCUGAGGAUGGCUUUUCCUCAGUGUAGAUAGCUGAGGGAAUAAGGAGAGGGCAAGUCUGGUGUCAGCCGCCGCGGUAAUACCAGCUCUCCGAGUGGUGUGGAUGUUUAUUGGGCCUGAAGCAUCCGUAGCCGGCUGGGCAAGUCCCCUGUUAAAUCCAGCGAUUCAAUCGUUGGAUUGCGGGGGAUACUGUCUGGCUAGGGGGCGAGAGAGGCCGACGGUAUUUUCGGGGUAGGGGUGAAAUCCUAUAAUCCCGGGAGGACCACCAGUGGCGAAGGCUGUUGGCUAGAACACGCCCGACGGUGAGGGAUGAAAGCUGGGGGAGCGAACCGGAUUAGAUACCCGUGUAGUCC
rnacentral:rRNA from 1 species